CCCCUAGAUGUUCUGGGCCGCACGCGCGCUACACUGAACAGUUCAACAAGUCUUAACCUUGGCCGAUAGGUCUGGGUAAUCUUUGAACGCUGUUCGUGACUGGGAUAGACCUUUGCAAUUAUGGGUCUUCAACGAGGAAUUCCUAGUAAACGCAAGUCAUCAGCUUGCAUUGAUUACGUCCCUGCCCUUUGUACACACCGCCCGUCGCAUCUACCGAUUGAAUGGUCCGGUGAAAUCUCGGGACGGCGGCUUGGUCGCUUGCGUCCGACUGCUGAAACUUGAUUAAACCAUAUCAUUUAGAGGAAGGUGAAGUCGUANCA
rnacentral:rRNA from 1 species